rnacentral:rRNA from 1 species
GCAGCAGUGGGGAAUUUUGGNCAAUGGGNGCAAGCNUGAUCCANCCAUNCNGCGUGUGUGAAGAAGGCCUUCGGGUUGUAAAGCACUUUCGGGCGGNANGAAAUCGCGCGGGCGAAUACCCCGCGUGGAUGACGGUACCGCAAGAAGAAGCACCGGCUAAAUAUGUGCCAGCAGCCGCGGUAAUACGUAGGGUGCGAGCGUUAAUUGGAAUUACUGGGGGUAAAGCGUGCGCAGGCGGCGUCGCAAGUCAGGCGUGAAAACCCCGGGCUUAACCUGGGAAUGGCGCUUGAAACUACGACGCUCGAGUGCGGCAGAGGGAGGUGGAAUUCCCCGUGUAGCGGUGAAAUGCGUAGAUAUGUGGAGGAACCCCCAUGGCGAAGGCAGCCUCCUGGGCUGACACUGACGCUCAUGCACGAAAGCGUGGGGAGCAAACAGGAUUAGAUACCCUGGUAGUUCACGCCCUAAAAGAUGUAGACUAUUUCUUCG